rnacentral:rRNA from 1 species
AAACAGGAUUAGAUACCCUGGUAGUCCACGCUGUAAACGAUGUCGACUUGGAGGUUGUGCCCUUGAGGCGUGGCUUCCGGAGCUAACGCGUUAAGUCGACCGCCUGGGGAGUACGGCCGCAAGGUUAAAACUCAAAUGAAUUGACGGGGGCCCGCACAAGCGGUGGAGCAUGUGGUUUAAUUCGAUGCAACGCGAAGAACCUUACCUGGUCUUGACAUCCACGGAAGUUUUCAGAGAUGAGAAUGUGCCUUCGGGAACCGUGAGACAGGUGCUGCAUGGCUGUCGUCAGCUCGUGUUGUGAAAUGUUGGGUUAAGUCCCGCAACGAGCGCAACCCUUAUCCUUUGUUGCCAGCGGUCCGGCCGGGAACUCAAAGGAGACUGCCAGUGAUAAACUGGAGGAAGGUGGGGAUGACGUCAAGUCAUCAUGGCCCUUACGACCAGGGCUACACACGUGCUACAAUGGCGCAUACAAAGAGAAGCGACCUCGCGAGAGCAAGCGGACCUCAUAAAGUGCGUCGUAGUCCGGAUUGGAGUCUGCAACUCGACUCC